rnacentral:rRNA from 1 species
UACAGAGGUCUCAAGCGUUGUUCGGAUUCAUUGGGCGUAAAGGGUGUGUAGGUGGCGCGCUAAGUCGGGUGUGAAAUUUCGGAGCUUAACUCCGAAACUGCAUUCGGUACUGGCGUGCUUGAGGACUGGAGAGGAGACUGGAAUUCAUGGUGUAGCAGUGAAAUGCGUAGAGACCAUGAGGAGGACCAGUGGCGAAGGCGGGUCUCUGGGCAGUAACUGACGCUGAGGAGCGAAAGCGUGGGGAGCGAACAGG